GACGAACGCUGGCGGCGUGCUUAACACAUGCAAGUCGAACGGAAAGGCCCUGCUUUUGUGGGGUGCUCGAGUGGCGAACGGGUGAGUAACACGUGAGUAACCUGCCCUUGACUUUGGGAUAACUUCAGGAAACUGGGGCUAAUACCGGAUAGGAGCUCCUGCUGCAUGGUGGUGGUUGGAAAGUUUCGGCGGUUGGGGAUGGACUCGCGGCUUAUCAGCUGGUUGGUGGGGUAGUGGCUUACCAAGGCUUUGACGGGUAGCCGGCCUGAGAGGGUGACCGGCCACAUUGGGACUGAGAUACGGCCCAGACUCCUACGGGAGGCAGCAGUGGGGAAUAUUGCACAAUGGGCGGAAGCCUGAUGCAGCAACGCCGCGUGCGGGAUGACGGCCUUCGGGUUGUAAACCGCUUUCGCCUGUGACGAAGCGUGAGUGACGGUAAUGGGUAAAGAAGCACCGGCUAACUACGUG
rnacentral:rRNA from 1 species